rnacentral:tRNA from 3 species
GCCCUCAUAGCUCAGUCUGGAUAGAGCAAAGAACUUCUAAUUCUUAGGCCGUAGGUUCGAAUCCUACUGGGGGCAC